rnacentral:rRNA from 1 species
AUUGAACGCUGGCGGCAGGCCUAACACAUGCAAGUCGAACGAGUGGCGGACGGGUGAGUAAUGUCUGGGAAACUGCCUGAGGGCGGGGGAUAACUAAUGAAAACGUUAGAUAAUACCGCAUACCAUCGGAUGUGCCCAGCUGGGAUUAGCUAGUAGGGGGGGUAAAGGCGAACCUAGGCGACGAUACAUAGCUGGGCUGCUAGGAUGACCAGACACACUGGAACUGGGACUCGUGACAGACGCAUAAGGGAGGCAGCAGGGGGGAAUAUUGCACAAUUGGCGCAAGCCUUAUGCCGCCAUGCCGCGUGUAUGAAGAAGGCAUUCGGGUUGUAAAGUACGUUCAGCGGGGAGGCGUUACUCGCAGAAGAAGCACCGGCUAACUCCGUGCCAGACGCCGCGGUAAUAC